GACGAACGCUGGCGGCGUGCUUAACACAUGCAAGUCGAACGGUAAGGCCCUUCGGGGUACACGAGUGGCGAACGGGUGAGUAACACGUGGGUGAUCUGCCCUGCACUUCGGGAUAAGCCUGGGAAACUGGGUCUAAUACCGGAUAGGACCAUGGACUUCACGGUUUGUGGUGGAAAGCUUUUGCGGUGUGGGAUGGGCCCGCGGCCUAUCAGCUUGUUGGUGGGGUAAUGGCCUACCAAGGCGACGACGGGUAGCCGGCCUGAGAGGGUGUCCGGCCACACUGGGACUGAGAUACGGCCCAGACUCCUACGGGAGGCAGCAGUGGGGAAUAUUGCACAAUGGGCGCAAGCCUGAUGCAGCGACGCCGCGUGAGGGAUGACGGCCUCGGUUGUAAACCUCUUUCAGCACAGACGAAGCGCAAGUGACGGUAUGUGCAGAAGAAGGACCGGCCGAACUACGUGCCAGCAACCGCGGUAAU
rnacentral:rRNA from 1 species